CACCACCCGUCCCUAUAGGCCGGUUUAGUGAGGUCCUCGUAUCCACCCCGGUGGGGUCGGCCCCAGCCCUGCCAGACCAUUGAGAAGACGGUCAAACUUGACUAUCUAGAGGAAGUAAAAGGUGUAACAAGGUUUCUGUAGGUGAACCUGUGGAAG
rnacentral:ncRNA from 1 species